UUCCGUCCGCCAUUUGCUUCCAAGCUGCUCGGCUGCUCCGUCCGCUCGCGUGUUUCGUGACACUCGCCGACGACUUUAGCUUGACGUCCUGGUGUUUCUCGACCGUAAUGAGGCAAGUGAAGUAGUAAGCGUUUGUGUUAGAUGACGGGGUGUUGCGCUUUUGGGUGCAGCCAGAGUUCUGGUAGUGGAAAAAAGUUGUUCUGCUUCGGAAAGUCGAUCUGAAGAGGCAGAAGGCAUGGCUCCACAUGAUUGGGAGGAAAAACUUUGUCCCUACCAGAAGCAGCAAGCUUUGUGAGCUCCUGGCCUUGCCUGUGGAGUAUUUGGCCCAAGAGCUUUAUCGCCACCUACCAAUGAUGCAGGAAGGCCAGCAAGCUGCGCUUCAGACUGCCAACCCCCCCCCCCCCCCCCAGCAACAGUUCCUGCACUCACAGGCUUUGAGUCACAGGUACUAAGCUGCUCUUGGAACAGCGCCAGCAGCUCCGUGAGCUGUCGCAACAGAACACAGCCCUCAAGGAAAGCCAGGAGGAGCUGUGCCUGCGGCUGGCCCAGCUGUAGGGCCAACUUCCGAGGAGGACCGA